rnacentral:rRNA from 1 species
UACGGAGGGUGCAAGCGUUAUCCGGAUUCACUGGGUUUAAAGGGUGCGUAGGUGGGUUGAUAAGUCAGUGGUGAAAUCCCCGAGCUUAACUUGGGAACUGCCAUUGAUACUAUUGAUCUUGAAUACCGUGGAGGUCAGCGGAAUAUGUCAUGUAGCGGUGAAAUGCUUAGAUAUGACAUAGAACACCAAUUGCGAAGGCAGCUGGCUACGCGAAUAUUGACACUGAUGCACGAAAGCGUGGGUAGCAAACAGG